UCCUACGGGCGGCAGCAGUGAGGAAUAUUGCGCAAUGGGCGAAAGCCUGACGCAGCGACGCCGCGUGGAGGAUGAAGGUCUUAGGAUUGUAAACUUCUGUUAAGCGGGAAGAAAGACGAAGGGUUAAUACCCCUUUAUGAUGACGGUACCGCUAGAGAAAGCACCGGCUAACUUCGUGCCAGCAGCCGCGGUAAUACGAAGGGUGCAAACGUUAUUCGGCUUUAUUGGGCGUAAAGGGUACGCAGGCGGUGCGUUAAGUCAACUGUUAAAUCUCCCGGCCUAACUGGGAAUCAGCGGUAGAUACUGGCGCACUAGAGGAUGGAAGAGAGAAGUGGAAUUCUUGGAGUAGAGGUAAAAUUCGUAGAUCUCAAGAGGAACACCGAUGGCGAAGGCAGCUUCUUGGUCCAUUUCUGACGCUCAGGUACGAAAGCGUGGGGAGCAAACAGGAUUAGAUACCCUAGUAGUCCAC
rnacentral:rRNA from 1 species